CCUACGGGAGGCAGCAGUGGGGAAUAUUGCGCAAUGGGCGAAAGCCUGACGCAGCGACGCCGCGUGAGGGUUGAAGGUCUUCGGAUCGUAAACCUCUGUCAGCAGGGAAGAACGGUCACUGUGCUAAUCAGCAGUGAAUUGACGGUACCUGCAAAGGAAGCACCGGCUAACUCCGUGCCAGCAGCCGCGGUAAUACGGAGGGUGCGAGCGUUAAUCGGAAUUACUGGGCGUAAAGCGCUCGUAGGCGGUAUGUCAAGUCAAGGGUGAAAUCCCCGCGCUCAACGUGGGAACUGCCUUUGAUACUGGCAAACUGGAGUGUGUGAGAGGAUAGUGGAAUUCCAGGUGUAGGAGUGAAAGCCGUAGAUAUCUGGAGGAACAUCAGUGGCGAAGGCGACUAUCUGGCACAUAACUGACGCUGAGGAGCGAAAGCGUGGGUAGCAAACAGGAUUAGAUACCCUUGUAGUC
rnacentral:rRNA from 1 species